rnacentral:rRNA from 1 species
GUAGCUAAUACCGCAUAACGUCGCAAGACCAAAGAGGGGGACCUUCGGGCCUCUUGCCAUCGGAUGUGCCCAGAUGGGAUUAGCUAGUAGGUGGGGUAACGGCUCACCUAGGCGACGAUCCCUAGCUGGUCUGAGAGGAUGACCAGCCACACUGGAACUGAGACACGGUCCAGACUCCUACGGGAGGCAGCAGUGGGGAAUAUUGCACAAUGGGCGCAAGCCUGAUGCAGCCAUGCCGCGUGUAUGAAGAAGGCCUUCGGGUUGUAAAGUACUUUCAGCGGGGAGGAAGGGAGUAAAGUUAAUACCUUUGCUCAUUGACGUUACCCGCAGAAGAAGCACCGGCUAACUCCGUGCCAGCAGCCGCGGUAAUACGGAGGGUGCAAGCGUUAAUCGGAAUUAC